UCAUCAAGUAGGAUUAUCCUUACCUGUUUCUUUAUUCAGAAGGCAGAUAGAACAUGAUGAUUGAAGUCAAAUGUUUUGGUUAAUGUGUCUAUGUGAUUAGGGCUCGUAACCCUAAUCACUUUUAUCUGAU